AACCUGCUUGAAGAAGGACAAUGUGUGGUGUUGCGUCUUUCCUGCUGGUUGGGGUGGAUGCGACAAGUGGUGGAACCCGUAUGGAGACUUCUGCUUCUCGAGAGCACUGCAGGUACAGAACUUCAAGGCUGGAAAGCUCCCAGGACUGCCGCCAGCCGUUGUGGGUACCUGAACAACUGACUCGAGUGCUGAAGGAUGACCAGAUGUGUGAUGCUGAUUCUCCUGGGAAUACUGAUGAUGGUGACAGGGUGCAGA
rnacentral:lncRNA from 1 species